ACAUCAACUGAGAUCCAAGUCAAAUCCAGUUCCACACUGUGAGGAGGAGUCAAUGCAAAACUCAGAUGUCUUCCACCUCUACUUAUCUGACUGCAGAGAGGAUGACAGAGAACAGUGGACACACAGUUUAACAUGAUGGACUAUAGGACAGGACUGCUGCUGUUAACUAUCUGCUGGGCAGGUGUUGAUGGUCAGACUCUGACAGAAUCUGAACCAGUGGUUAAAAGGCCUGGAGAAUCUCACAGAUUGACCUGUACAACCUCUGGAUUCACAUUCAGCAGCUACUAUAUGCACUGGGUCAGACAGGCUCCUGGAAAAGGACUGGAGUGGAUUGCCACUGUUGAUACUGGUAGCUACAUCUACUACUCCCAGUCAGUUCAAGGCCGGUUUACCAUCUCCAGAGACAACAACAGACAGCAGGUGUAUCUGCAGAUGAACAGUCUGAAGACUGAAGAUUCUGCUGUUUAUUAUUGUGCUCGAGAGCCACAGUGACUGGAGUUGGUUGAGCAGCUGUACAAAAUCCUACAGCACUAUUUUUUAGUAAUUGGU